CCCUAAGGAGACAGCUGCAGGCUCAAGCUGGACCCCAAAGUUGACAACAGCACCAGCAAACCCUUCGGCACCAGGUACAUGGUGACCUGCAGAGGCUGCCCAAGAGUGUACCCAUGGGUGUGGGAUGCCACUGGACUGGGACAGGAGCAGGACACCUAUGUGCUCAACCCAAACACCAACCGUGAGACCGUGCUGGCGUAGUCCCCGCUCCCACCCACCCUCAUCCCUUCCUCAUCCCCACCACACCACAACACCAGGAAAGGAAACACUGCGACUCAUCCUCUGCAACAACCAUUGCUUUAACCAGAACAGUUUUUUUGUAAGAAUUGAGUAAAGAACUGUAAAUACUU